GAUGAACGCUGGCGGCGUGCCUAACACAUGCAAGUCGAACGUUAGGGUUUAGCAAUAAACCCGAAAGUGACGAACGGGUGAGUAACACGUAGGUAACCUGCCGCGCAGAGGGGGAUAACGACUAGAAAUGGUCGCUAAUACCGCAUGGUACUAUUUUGGGGGGACCCUGAAUGGUUAAAACCUUGGUGCUGCGCGAGGGGCCUGCGUCCGAUUAGUUAGUUGGUGAGGUAACGGCUCACCAAGACGAUGAUCGGUAGCUGGUCUGAGAGGAUGAUCAGCCACACUGGGACUGAGACACGGCCCAGACGGCUAGGGGAGGCAGCAGUGGGGAAUUUUGGACAAUGGGGGAAACCCUGAUCCAGCCAUGCCGCGUGAGUGAAGAAGGCCUUCGGGUUGUAAAGCUCUUUCAGACGGAAAGAAAUGGUCUUGGCUAAUACCCGAGAUCGAUGACGGUACCGUAAGAAGAAGCACCGGCUAACUACGUGCCAGCCGCCGCCGUAAUAC
rnacentral:rRNA from 1 species